GCUGAAACAACUAAUCGAUUUAAUCGAUUAUAAUCGAUUAUUAAAAUAGUUAACAACUUUUUUAGUCAUCGAUUAGUUGUUUAAUAAUCAUAUUUUACCGCAUAAAGUCUAUUUUUUACCACAAUCUGACAUCGGUUACAAUCUGUUAAAUUUGCCGCCAGUGUGUGGCAGUAAUGAGCCACUGAUCUACCAGUGGGGCCGUAGAAGAAGAAAUUAGCCAAUAAGUGCCCUCGGUUUUCAUGACGUAUCACGUUACUGAUGCGCAUCUUGCUGUGAGAGAUGGCGGAUCAACAACAAAUACGGAAGAAAAAUAGAAGCGACAAAACAAGAGAAACCCCGGACAAAAACCUCACGAGUAUGGGAGCACUUCACUAGAUGCCUUGAAAAGACCGGUGACCUACAAAAUAUGCAAAAACCAUGGCACGACGGAAGCACGACGUCCCUAAGUGAACAUUUGAGACGAAAACGUGGGGGCUGAUGCAGCAGAGGAAUGUCCGAAAAAAACAAGCAACGAUGGACAACUACAUGGGGAACAAGACACUCACCCCCAGCAAUUCAUACCACUUACAAACUCUAUUCCAGAUUCUACAUUAUUUUUUAUGGAAUUUACCUCUUAUAUUUUGAUGCCAAAAAAUUAUUCUGGACUGAUAUUUUGCACUGUUUAGCUCAUUUUACACUGCUGACUGUGGUCAUGUGCAAUAAAAUAGAUUGCAGUCAACUGCACAAUUC